AACUCUGUCUAUGUGGCACGUUAACAUUGAGUCUUGUCAAAACAGGGAGAUCCUGGGCCACCCGGCACCCCUGGUAUACCUGGACUGAAUGGACUGACAGGGCGCAAAGUAAACAUUCAAGUGUGCAUGUACUUCUCCUGACAUUUAGUGUUUUAGUUUUCUUUUCAUUUAUAUUUUUUCUCAUGUGAAAUGGUAGGGUGACAAGGGAGAAGGGGGAAUCAAUGGUUCUAAUGGGGAGCCAGGACAGAAGGGGGAAAAGGGUGCAGCAGGUUUCUCAGGCUUUCCAGGCUUUAAGGGAUCAGCAGGGAGUCCAGGAAGGGAUGGAGAUGAGGGCCCACCAGGACCACCAGGUCCCCGUGGUGACACAGGGCCUAAGGGGGAGAGGGGCCGAAGAGGCAGGUCGAAGCCAUGUCAGAGGGGAUUACCUGGGACACCAGGACAAAGAGGAGACUCUGUGAGAUUCACAGUCAAUCACUCACCAUUCACACCCUAUAAACACACUUCUCAAGUCUCCUUACAAUGCAGAAACCAAGCUUUCCAGUUGGAUUGCUAGAAACCACAUUGUCAU
rnacentral:lncRNA from 1 species